UUUACGCAUGGAAUCCCAUGGGCAAUUUUGUGACAAAACAAGGAUCCAAGCUCGAGAGCUGUCGACCAAUCAGAUCUUGGUAUUUUUACCUGCACAGUUCUUAAUGGAUGGCAUUUAACACACGAAAUCCCAUGGGCAAUUUUGUGACAAAAUGAGGAUCCAAGCUCGAGAGCUGUCGACCAAUCAGAUCUUGGUAUUUUUUACCUGCACAGUUCUUAAUGGAUGGCAUUUAACACACGAAAUCCCAUGGGCAAUUUUGUGACAAAAUGAGGAUCCAAGCUCCAGAGCUGUCGACCAAUCAGAUCUUGGUAUUUUUUACCUGCGCAGUUCUUAAUGGAGGGCAUUUAACACACGAAAUCCCAUUAAGAAUUUUGUGACAAAGCAAGGAUCCAUGGCCAUCCAAUCAUAUCCUGCGCUUAAAUUCUGGCGCCGCACUCAAUUUUUGCUAAGCAGACAAACCUGCUGAGCUGUAUGCAUAAAAUUGGCCCCUGGAUGUGUGUGACAUACUACGUCAGAGAGCAGACCAAUCAGAACACAGGAAGUAAAAGCCCAUGAAAUGCAAGCUAUUAUCCAUCUAUUGAAAUCAUUCAUAAAUACAGUGCCUUUCUUCGGGCCCAGCUUUUGUUUGUUGUUAUCAUGUGGAGUUUUCUACCCCUCGACUAUUUUAAAUAGAGCCUUUGUUUUGAUGAUUUACCCAGUUGUAAAAGUAUUACGUAAGUUCCUUUUUUUUCUGUUAGCACGUGAUUCAGUGGAAAUUUCCGUUCAGAUUUUUCUCGCUUUUGAUAAAACUCUGGCAGCGUGGUUGGCCAGUUGACUCAACGCUAAGCUACGGUAAGGGUGGUUGUGGCAGGAUGCGGAUGGGAUCUUUUUGAAUGACUGAGAUUGAGAACCUGGGAUGGAGUCCUUCUCAUCUACAUGCUCUCUCAUGACAGACCCUGCAACCACUGUAAUCCCGUGGUAUUACGGCACAGAUGGAUUACGUCCACCUUAAAGGUAUAUUAUUAUCACCAUUUAUUCACUCUAACAUCAAACCUGCACCAAACUGCAUGAUUAACAAGCUCACUUCCAUCUACACCAUCACUUUAAAAUCUACUAAGCUCAUUUCCAUGCUUGCAUGUUACAUCUUAACAAUCAGGGAUUCGUUACAACAGCGAAAACGUACCCCAUCUAUAACUCCACACCAUCCGUUAUCAGUCACUUGUCAUGUAACAACCACUCACACCAUUUAUAGUCACCUGAAAUAUUCCCAAACUAAAUGGAAUAAUUCUGUUUGGAGGUGCAUUUUCUGAAUGUAUGUGUUUUCUGUUCUUUAUUUACUGCAAUGGUGAAAUGCGGAACCAACUGCCAUUGGAAUACGCAAUAUGGAGUCCAAUGGAAACUGCACCAGUCAUUCCAGGGCCAUGAAGACUUCAUUGGAGCUGUGGUGAGCGGAGGUUGCUGUGAGGAAAACAACACUUACACAUUUUAAAGUUCAGGAAUAGAACCUGAAGCUGUUUUCUAGGCCAUGAUGACUCAUUGGAGCUGUGGUGAGCGGAGGUAUGCUGUGCGGAAACGACACUCAUUUAAAAGUUCAGGAAUACAACCUGAGGGUGAUGUCACAAGGAUAAUGGCUACCAAGGAUCAUGGAAG